UUCGUUGUAGUCCAGUCAACUAGAAUACUUGGCUCUCACCCAAGAGACCUAGGUUCAAGUCCCAACAAUGAAA
rnacentral:tRNA from 1 species